GAACCACAUGUUUCAAGUAAUUUGCUUUCUCUGGAGAUCGAUCCAAGAUUCCAAGUUGAUGUGUAGUCCCUGAAAGCAGAGAAAAAAUAUAUUCAUCAGCUUAUAAUCUUAACCAAGCUUGAAUGUUUGGUCAGGGUAAACUGUAAAGAUGAAACCAAAUAAAAAGAGGAUAAAGAGAGCAACCAUGGGAGCAUUAUUCCGGUGCAAGAUUGUAAUAUGAUCAAUUGUUAUUGUCCUCAGUCAAAGAUUAAAAGGCCAGAGACAGCCUUAGGCUAAAAAUGAACCAGGAACGAACACAUCCAUCAUCCAUGCAUAGAACAGACAAGAGAUCCUGUCAUCAAA
rnacentral:lncRNA from 1 species